AAAAAAAAAAAAAAAAAAGGGAAAAACCUCUAUUCCAGAAAUAUGUAGACUGUAGUUGUGAUUAUCGUUUUUGUAUCACAAUAGCCACUUUCACAUGCUUAGUUUUCUCGACUCGAGCUUGAGCUUGUACUUGAGUUUGCACUGGAGAUGGGGUUUGCAAAUGAAUUCACAUGAAGUUGGUGAGUGCAGCAAACGGGUUCAGGAGGACAAGGCACAGGUGCUGGAUGUGCUAUAAAGGUAGGAACAUUAUCUCCAGGCAUCAACACUGAAACUCCAUUGGCAUAUACAGUCAUCUGAACAAAUUAAGCAAAAGAUCAAGGUUUUAAACAGUUGAACUUGUUGAAGUGAAACUAUCAAUGUUAAAAAAGCAUAGAAAGUCAUGAGAUCAAUAUGUUAACCAGAAACAUGACAAUUUCAAUCGGAUAAUGACGUGGAUUGCAAGCUGAUCUCAUCAAGACUUGCACAUUAUACAAUAAAUGUAAUUUGAGGCACUGCAAUUCAAUAAAUAUAUGAAUCCAGUCAUUCUACAGCUCAUAUCACUAUUAUAAUCCAAUAAAUGAAUGGAUGCUGAUCCUAAAACAGUGUCUUUAAAAAUGUCAAGAACAAAACUCUUCCUGGUUUUUCAGAAAAAAUGCUGUGAACAAGAUCCUGAUUCUGGGUGUGUGUAGUAGAUAAAUAUUUAAUCUCCAUCCAAU
rnacentral:misc_RNA from 1 species